GAUCCGAUAGUGUAGUGGUACCACGCGUCCUUCGGGUGUUAACAGCCCGAUUGAAGCCAAUCUUGUGGACGAAGCCUGGGUUCGAAUCCCGGUCGGGUCC
rnacentral:tRNA from 1 species